GAUGAACGCUGGCGGCGUGCCUAAUACAUGCAAGUCGAGCGAACGGACGAGAAGCUUGCUUCUCUGAUGUUAGCGGCGGACGGGUGAGUAACACGUGGAUAACCUACCUAUAAGACUGGGAUAACUUCGGGAAACCGUAGCUAAUACCGGAUAAUAUUUUGAACCGCAUGGUUCAAAAGUGAAAGACGGUCUUGCUGUCACUUAUAGAUGGAUCCGCGCUGCAUUAGCUAGUUGGUAAGGUAACGGCUUACCAAGGCAACGAUGUAUAGCCGACCUGAGAGGGUGAUCGGCCACACUGGAACUGAGACACGGUCCAGACUCCUACGGGAGGCAGCAGUAGGGAAUCUUCCGCAAUGGGCGAAAGCCUGACGGAGCAACGCCGCGUGAGUGAUGAAGGUCUUCGGAUCGUAAAACUCUGUUAUUAGGGAAGAACAUAUGUGUAAGUAACUGUGCACAUCUUGACGGUACCUAAUCAGAAAGCCACGGCUAACUACGUG
rnacentral:rRNA from 1 species